UGGGGAAUCUUCGGCAAUGGGCGCAAGCCUGACCGAGCCAUGCCGCGUGAGCGAUGAAGGCCUUAGGGUUGUAAAGCUCUUUCGCCAGGGAUGAUAAUGACAGUACCUGGUAAAGAAACCCCGGCUAACUCCGUGCCAGCAGCCGCGGUAAUACGGAGGGGGUUAGCGUUGUUCGGAAUUACUGGGCGUAAAGCGCGCGUAGGCGGAUUGGAAAGUUAGAGGUGAAAUCCCGGGGCUCAACCCCGGAACUGCCUUUAAAACUCCCAGUCUUGAGUUCGAGAGAGGUGAGUGGAAUUCCGAGUGUAGAGGUGAAAUUCGUAGAUAUUCGGAGGAACACCAGUGGCGAAGGCGGCUCACUGGCUCGAUACUGACGCUGAGGUGCGAAAGCGUGGGGAGCAAACAGGAUUAGAUACCCCCGUAGUCC
rnacentral:rRNA from 1 species